rnacentral:rRNA from 1 species
GACAGAGGGUGCAAACGUUGCUCGGAAUCACUGGGCGUAAAGGGCGUGUAGGCGGGAAUGUAAGUCGGGCGUGAAAUCCCUAGGCUCAACCUAGGAACUGCACUCGAAACUGCGUUUCUUGAGUAUCGGAGAGGAAAGCGGAAUUCCUGGUGUAGAGGUGAAAUUCGUAGAUAUCAGGAGGAACACCAGUGGCGAAGGCGGCUUUCUGGACG